AAUGAACGCUGGCGGCAUGCCUAACACAUGCAAGUCGAACGAGACCUUCGGGUCUAGUGGCGCACGGGUGCGUAACGCGUGGGAAUCUGCCCUUGGGUUCGGAAUAACAGUUAGAAAUGACUGCUAAUACCGGAUGAUGUCGAAAGACCAAAAAUUUAUCGCCCGAGGAUGAGCCCGCGUAGGAUUAGCUAGUUGGUGAGGUAAAGGCUCACCAAGGCGACGAUCCUUAGCUGGUCUGAGAGGAUGAUCAGCCACACUGGGACUGAGACACGGCCCAGACUCCUACGGGAGGCAGCAGUGGGGAAUAUUGGACAAUGGGCGAAAGCCUGAUCCAGCAAUGCCGCGUGAGUGAUGAAGGCCUUAGGGUUGUAAAGCUCUUUUACCCGGGAUGAUAAUGACAGUACCGGGAGAAUAAGCUCCGGCUAACUUCGUGCCAGCCGCCGCCGUAA
rnacentral:rRNA from 1 species